rnacentral:tRNA from 1 species
GAGGGUAUAGCUCAGUGAUAGAGUACGUGCCUACCAUGCACAAGGUCCUGGGUUCAAUCCCCAGUAUCUCCA